rnacentral:tRNA from 1 species
UCGGGGGCUCGACGGGUUGGCGUGGCCGGCUACUUCCUGGCUCCGGGUUUCCUGUACGACUUGGCGGUGCGGUCCGCCCUCUCGGC